GUCUGAUUCCAGGGAGGUAGUCCUAUAGCUGGGCCUUGGAGAUCUGGGCAGUCAUUGCUUUAGAGCAAUUACCCAUAAUAAGAGGAGCUGAGUUGGUGACAACACUUUGAAGGAGAUGUAGUAGACUGUGGCCAAAGCUUCAGCGAGCAGGCUACCCUGUUUAGAUGUGACCAGACCUAUAGAAUCCUGAGUCUUGAGGUCUCCUCAAAACAUACUAGAACACCACAAGAGAAUUCCUGGGAGCACUGAACAAAGGUCACACAAAAUUAGACUUGUAUGUCAAUGUGCUGCAUAUCUUCACCUUCAGAGAAGACUAAAGGCCAAUGUAAGCAUCAGCCAGGGGAAUGACAGUAUCACCUGCAAGACUGAGAUGCCCUUGCUUGUUCGAAAGUACAGCUGGCUCACACACCACAGGCAGGUUCUUUGAGACAAAGCUAGAAGAAAUCAGGCCAGACAGAACAGUGAGUCUCUAUUGACUGAGCAAGAACAUCACCGCAAAAUCUCAUAUGAAGUUGCAAGGCCAAAAGUUGUCUUAAAAAUAGUGACCAGUUCUAAGGGAGGACAGAUAAACAAUAAACAAUGGUGGUGUUCUGGGUUCUUGAAUAAUCUAAUCGGAAUCAAGGAGUUAUCCACUAAAAGUUAUUUACUGCCAUUGUCUAUUUCAUAUUUCAUAUUGGAUCAUUUUGUGACCAAGAGGGCAGUCAGAGAGUGCACUGGAAGGCUUAUGAGCCCCCUGGGUGACAUGAAGCAGGUUGAUCCCACUCCUGCCUUUCCUACUAAGUGCUUGGAGAGCUUCUGCACAUUAGACAUGAAAUUGGACACUGUGAGAAUUGAUUGGCCCACAGGGAGAAUAGAGAAGAAAUCAUUCUUAACAGCUCUAGUCAGUCAGUGGUGAUCUUAGGCACUAAAUGGCAAAGGAACACCAUAAGUAGCCACCAUGUAGAGAAGAUGAGUGGCUAGCUCUGGCUUUGUAAAUACAAAUUGCCAUGUGGCGGUGAGGGUUGUUU
rnacentral:lncRNA from 1 species